GGCAGUGUAGCACAGUGGGUAAGGAACUGGGCUCGUAACCGAAAGGUCGUAGGUUCAAUUCCUGGAUAGUACACUGUCG
rnacentral:tRNA from 1 species